rnacentral:lncRNA from 1 species
AGAUCUUCAACCAUCAAAUGAAAAUUCAACUUCUUUUCAUAAGUUCCAAGGCAGAGGGGACACAUUUGGGAAAACGCUGCUUUUUUGCCUUUUUACUGGCUGAAGCACCUUCUGAACAGGCAUGGGGAAGCUACAGGGGUCAGUGGCUUUUGUUAGCUAAAGAACCCAGAGAUGGGACUUUUCCUUUCCUUAAGGCCAGGGCUUGCCAGCUCCUCCCAUCUUUUAGAGGAACCCCAAAGCAUACCCUUUUCUACAUUCUGCUACCCCCUGGCCCCCCCCAGACCUGAAAUGGCUCCCUUCAGUCUCUCUUUUCUUCAGCCCCCCAACACUUGUCUCACCAGGCCCAGCUUUUCCUUCUGGAUGUCGCUUGCCGCCCGCCUAUCCUCCCACCUGCCUCCUGAGGCCUGGUUUGGAGGUUCUCCUCCUUCCAGGAGCCCAGCGCUGCCUCUAGGAGAGAGAAUUAUCCUGGAAACUCCCCCUUCUCCCUGCCUGACAGCAGCCCCUGCUGAACUCCACAGCCGCAGCUGGGAGCCAUUUAAAUAGCUGAUGCAGGGUGGGCUGGUGGCUACUGCCUGUAAUCCCACACUUUGGGAGGCUGAGGUGGGAGCACUGCUUCAGCCUAGGAGUUCAAAACCAGCCUGGGCACUAUAGCAAGGACCCUGUCUCUAAAAAAGAAAAAAAAUAGCUGAUCUGCAUCUGAAAGGAGAUAAGCAGUUUCCUGAGCGGUAUACUGUGCAGUAUCCAGCUUCGUAAACUAAGGGCAUACACACUGUAGACAUGUCCAUGCAUAUCUGCACAAGGAAAGAAAACGCAUGGAGGUGAGGGUGUUGGUGGCUAACUCUGGGUGGUGGGAUUUGGGGUGAUUUUUUUCUCCUGCGUUGCUUAGCUGUGCUUUUAAAUUUUAUUUUUUCACGUAUGUUUGCAACAACGAAAACUCAUGAUAAGUGUCAAUAAAUCGGCAGCUCUCGUUUGGUUCCUCAUUAGCUGUGUAACCUCAAACAAAGUACUUAACCUCUCAGGCUCCUCAUCUCAAAUACAUCCCACCUCCCUCCUCCUCUGAGAUGCCGCGGGAUUCAUCUCUCUCCCACAGCCAGAUUGCAAGCAGCUAGAGAGCAGGCAGGUGCUAAAUAAAUCCUCAGUGACUGAGCCCGGAGCCAAACACAUUUAUCCUUGUCAUCCAUCCAAUUCUGUGCAGCUGGGAUGGAGCCCAAGGCGCUGAGGACAACAUAAAUCUGCUCUUUGGGCCACACCCAUUUCUUCUCCAAGCAGAUGUGGUAGCCGGGAGCCAAGUCUUGGGGGCUCAGCGCUGGGCUGAGAAGGGGACGAGCUCCAGGCCCGGUGAGUUGGAAGUCUCGGAGAAAGGCUGACUGGCUUCACCUCGCCUCCGCCGCCCAGGGGCUGUGUGAGCAGGCUUUGGCAGCGAUUUCUCCAGCAGGAAGGGAUGAAGCCCUGACCAGGUUCAGAGGCAGCGGGUCAGGACCGUGCCUGGGCUCAGUCCCGCCCUGGCUCCUUCGCUUCUCGCCGCUGUGAGCCUGGGCAGUGGCUUCGCUGCUCUGGGCCCCACUUUCCUCAAGCGUUAGCAGGACAGUGGCACUCUAUUUUGGAAUCUCAUGAGAAUAAAAUGAGAUGAUGCAUGGACAACCUGCACAUAGCAAGUGCUAAUAAUUACCAUCUCUUAAGUUGGUUUGAAGGUCCAAAGCCAGUCCCUAAUUGAGUAGCCUCCGGUAGCUCAAAGUACAUGGCUGGCUUAAGGCCUGGGAUCCUUUCCCAGUGCUAACCGAGCUGCCAUAAAUGUAACUCAUGGAAAGCAAGCUCCAGGUCUGACAUGGGCGGGGCCCAUCCUGCUGAGAUACAGUACAGCCUCAAGUGGAUUUAUUAACCCAAAGAAACUAGCAGCACAACUUGUGUGCUGACACCUGCUAGUCACUUCAUACCUCACGAUCCCCUUUUCACGGAACAGGACAUCCAUCUAGGCACAGAGAGGAUAAGGUUCUGCCCAAAGCCACACAGCAUGAUAAAUGGCGGAACUUGGGUCUAAAUACUGCAUCAGAAGACAGUAUCUCUGCUCACCCCUAUUUUGUUUUGCAACCUCUGGAAUUUUCCAUUCCAUUUGUUUAACGCCACUUAUAAUGAAGGCCUCCUCAUGCAUCUUGAGAAGGCAUGUGUUCAGUGGUACAGUAUACAAACUCACUUCUCCCACAUGCUGGCCGCACUAAGUGCCACACCUUGAAAUAAUUCUGAGACAUUCUUCUUAGGAUAUUUGUGGCAUAAGGAGGAAGCCCUUGGUGCCUUCGUGCAGCUGUGUUCCUCUAGGAUAGCAAUUGUGAUAAAGACCCAGGGCCGGCUGGUGACUGAAACGGGAGUGGUUUCUACCAAAUCCUGUGAGCAAUUUAGACUCUCUUGGGUAUUCCCUAAACAGUCAUCAUCAGACUGGGAGGAGAGAGCAAAUAUUACCUGAAAUGAGGCCGCUUGGUGGAAGACAUUGGAGAAACACAGCUGGAAAGAUGGACGCUCUGCGGUUCAGAAACACUGGAGUUUCACAUUUGACCUCUGGCUUUCAUGUGAGAUGAAAGGACAGAACACUUUUCCAAAGUUAUUUUCUCUUUACAUGAGUUCAAGGGCUGUGGUGAAAGUGAGGAAUCCAAAGUCUACCCAGACUACUUCCUCUUAUUUUGAUUUAUGCCAGUGGUUUAUAACUUUUUAUAAUAAAUAUUUUGUAAACUCC